GACGAACGCUGGCGGCGUGCUUAACACAUGCAAGUCGAACGGAAAGGCCCUGUUUUUGUGGGGUGCUCAAGUGGCGAACGGGUGAGUAACACGUGAGUAACCUACCCUUGACUUUGGGAUAACUUCAGGAAACUGGGGCUAAUACCGGUUCUGAGCUUCUGCCGCAUGGUGGGGGUUGCACAGUUUCGGCGGUUGGGGAUGGACUGGCGGCUUAUCAGCUUGGUGCUGGGGUAGUGGCUUACCAAGGCUUUGACUGGUAGCCGGGCUGAGAGGGUGGCAGGACCCAUUGGGACUGGAAUACGGCACGGACUACUACCGGACGCAGCGGUGGAGAAGAGUGCAUUGUGGGCGGAAGGCUGCUGCAGCAACGCCGCGUGCGGGAUGACAGCCAUCAGGUUGGAAAGCACUUUCGUCUGAGAAGAAGCGUGAGUGACGGUAAUGGGUAAAGAAGCCCCGGCUAACUACGUG
rnacentral:rRNA from 1 species